rnacentral:rRNA from 1 species
UACGUAGGGUGCGAGCGUUGUCCGGAAUUAUUGGGCGUAAAGAGCUUGUAGGUGGUUUGUCGCGUCUGCUGUGAAAAUCCGAGGCUCAACCUCGGACUUGCAGUGGGUACGGGCAGACUAGAGUGUGGUAGGGGAGACUGGAAUUCCUGGUGUAGCGGUGGAAUGCGCAGAUAUCAGGAGGAACACCGAUGGCGAAGGCAG